rnacentral:rRNA from 1 species
GACGAACGCUGGCGGCGUGCUUAACACAUGCAAGUCGAACGGAAAGGCCUCUUUCGGGGGGUACUCGAGUGGCGAACGGGUGAGUAACACGUGAGUAACCUGCCCUUGACUUUGGGAUAACUUCAGGAAACUGGGGCUAAUACCGGAUAGGAGCUCCUGCUGCAUGGUGGGGGUUGGAAAGUUUCGGCGGUUGGGGAUGGACUCGCGGCUUAUCAGCUUGUUGGUGGGGUAGUGGCUUACCAAGGCUUUGACGGGUAGCCGGCCUGAGGGGGUGACCGGCCACAUUGGGACUGAGAUACGGCCCAGACUCCUACGGGAGGCAGCAGUGGGGAAUAUUGCACAAUGGGUGGAAGCCUGAUGCAGCAACGCCGUGUGCGGGAUGACGGCCUUCGGGUUGUAAACCGCUUUCGCUCAUGACGAAGCUUUGUGUGACGGUAGUGGGUAAAGAAGCACCGGCUAACUACGU